CAACCCAGUUUCUCGCGGCAGUGAGUCGAUAGCGCCCUUUCGGCGUAUCUAGAAAAUUUUCGAAAGGGCCAUCGCCUAUAUCUGCCCAAAGAAACUGGGAAUA
rnacentral:pre_miRNA from 1 species